rnacentral:rRNA from 1 species
GCGACCCCAGGUCAGGCGGGACUACGCGCUGAGUU